rnacentral:rRNA from 1 species
GAUGAACGCUGGCGGCGUGCCUAAUACGUGCAAGUCGAACGCAUUGUGGUUGAAAUGAUAUGAAGAACUUGUUCAGAUUUGAUUUUCAACAUUGCAAUGAGUGGCGAACGGGUGAGUAACACGUGGGAGACCUACCUCUUAGCAGGGGAUAACAUUUGGAAACAAAUGCUAAUACCGUAUAAUAAUUAAAACCGCAUGGUUUUAGUUUAAAAGAUGGUCUUGCUAUCACUAAGAGAUGGUCCCGCGGUGUACUAGUUAGUUGGUGAGGUAAUGGCUCACCAAGACAAUGAUACAUAGCCGAGUUGAGAGACUGACCGGCCACAAUGGGACUGAGACACGGCCCAUACUCCUACGGGAGGCAGCAGUAGGGAAUCUUCCACAAUGGACGAAAGUCUGAUGGAGCAACGCCGCGUGUGUGAUGAAGGUUUCGGCUCGUAAAACACUGUUGUAAGAGAAGAAUGACAUUGAGAGUAACUGUUCAAAUGUGUGACGGUAU